AGCAGUCGCCGCGGUAAUACGUAGGUGGCAAGCGUUGUCCGGAAUUAUUGGGCGUAAAGGGCUCGCAGGCGGUUUCUUAAGUCUGAUGUGAAAGCCCCCGGCUCAACCAGGGAGGGUCAUUGGAAACUGGGAAACUUGAGUGCAGAAGAGGAGAGUGGAAUUCCACGUGUAGCGGUGAAAUGCGUAGAGAUGUGGAGGAACACCAGUGGCGAAGGCGACUCUCUGGUCUGUAACUGACGCUGAGGAGCGAAAGCGUGGGGAGCGAGCAGGAUUAGAUACCCGAGUAGUCCCUGUCUCUUAUAC
rnacentral:rRNA from 1 species